GAUGUCCUAUGAUUAAGCCACGGAAUUGGCACUAUAGUGCCUGAAAUGCAUGAAGAAUUAUUCCAUGCUGCCUUCCUGCUGAGGACC
rnacentral:snoRNA from 1 species